AUACUCGCUUCGACAGCACAUAUACUAAAAUUGGAACGAUACAGAGAAGAUUAGCAUGGUCCCUGCACAAGGAUGACGCACAAAUUCACGAAGCAUUCCAUAUUUUC